rnacentral:rRNA from 1 species
AUGAUAGGGUGGGGGGACGUGUACAGGGUGGCGGCCGCCAUGGCGCCGCUCUACUUCGCCCUCGGCCUCGGCUACGGCUCCGUGCGGUGGUGGAAGCUCUUCACCCCGGACCACUGCGACGCCGUCAACCGCCUCGUCGUCUACUUCGCCUUUCCGCUCUUCGGCUUCGACUUCACCGCCCGCGCCGGCUCCUUCGCCGCCGGCUACCGCGUCCUGGCGGCCGACGCCGUCGCCAAGCUCAUCGUCGUGCUCGCGCUCGCCGGGUGCGCCGCCGCCCGGCGCGCCAAGGCCGCGACGCGCCGCGGCGGCGGCAGCGCGCCCUCGUCCUACUCCUGGUGCAUCACCGGCUUCUCGCUGGCGGCGCUCAACAACGGGCUCCUCGUGGGCGUGCCGCUGCUGGACGCCAUGUACGGCAAGUGGGCGCGCGACGUCAUCGUGCAGCUCUCGGUGCUGCAGGCCGUCGUCUGGCUCCCGCUGAUGCUGGUCGUCUUCGAGGCGAGGCAGGCCUGGCUGGAGGUGACCCCGGAGCCGGCUGAUCAAGGCGCCGUCGCGCGCGAAGAAGGCGACCUGCAGGAGGCGCCGGGGAGCGACGUCCACCGGCCAGCAGCAGCCGGAGAUGGCCGGAAAAUGGCGGCGACGGGGUGCGCGUUCUGGGCGCCGCUUCUGCGAGCGGUCGGGGUGAAGCUCGCCCGCAACCCCAACGUGUACGCCAGCCUCCUUGGGGUCGCGUGGUCUUUCGUGGCAAACAGGUGGCACCUGAAGAUGCCAAGCAUCAUAGAUGGCUCCAUCGCGAUCAUGUCAAAGACCUGCAUUGGAAUGGGAAUGUUCAGCAUGGGCAUGUUCAUAGGACUACAAGACAAGUUUAUUGUGUGUGGACUAGGCUUGACCGCGUUGAGCUUGGUGUUGAGGUUCAUCGUGGCACCGGCCGCCACCGUAGCUGGAGCCCUAAUUUUAGGACUCCGUGGUGACCUUCUACGUGUUACUAUCUUGCAGGCUGCACUGCCACAGUCAGUCGCAACAUUUGUCUUCUCACGAGAGUAUGACCUGCAUGCUGGUGUACUUAGUACCGCGUAA